rnacentral:rRNA from 1 species
GAUGAACGCUGGCGGCGUGCCUAAUACAUGCAAGUCGAGCGAACAGACGAGGAGCUUGCUCCUCUGACGUUAGCGGCGGACGGGUGAGUAACACGUGGAUAACCUACCUAUAAGACUGGGAUAACUUCGGGAAACCGGAGCUAAUACCGGAUAAUAUAUUGAACCGCAUGGUUCAAUAGUGGAAGACGGUUUUGCUGUCACUUAUAGAUGGAUCCGCGCCGCAUUAGCUAGUUGGUAAGGUAACGGCUUACCAAGGCAACGAUGCGUAGCCGACCUGAGAGGGUGAUCGGCCACACGGGAACGGAGACACGGUCCAGACUCCUACGGGAGGCAGCAGUAGGGAAUCUUCCGCAAUGGGCGAAAGCCUGACGGAGCAACGCCGCGUGAGUGAUGAAGGUCUUCGGAUCGUAAAACCCUGUUAUUAGGUAAGAACAAAUGUGUAAGUAACUAUGCACGUCUUGACGGUACCUAAUCAGAAAGCCACGGCUAACUACGUG